CCCGUGCGCCUCAGGGCAGGAGCAACGCCAGCAUCCCUGGGGACUGCCCUGUAACGCCAGCUCGCUGCCCCCGCAUGCCUGCCUGCGCCGGGGAGGCAGCUGGGCACCCCCGCACCCCCUCCGGGCUUCGCGUGUGGGAGGCCAGCCCCCGCGCAGGCUGCCAGCUCUUCUUCUGGCACCGAUCCCUGUGCAGCUCCGGCAAAUUGGCAGAAAGCUUCCCCCCGGGGCCCGAGGCACCACGGACCCAGGCUACGUGUGGCUGAGCCAGCCCAGCAUCCCAGGGGACCGCUCCUGGCAGUGUCCCUGCCUCCAGCCGGAUGCUGCCGGGAGGGUCCGCAGGCUUUUGAGAGUGGGGGAACCCCACCCCGCGUGCGAGACCCCAGCAGGAGCUCGGCAGCAGCUGCAGCAGAGCUGAGCAGAACGAUGCAAGAUGUCUGGAGACGGCCAGCUACCGGCAGGAGCGCGUGGGAGAGGAGCUGCCCGCCACGGGGCUCUGCCUGCGCGCGGGAGGGACCACACAGACGCUUCGCCGUCCGGCCCUUCGCAGCCUUGGGACGCCUGGAAAGAGCAGCACAGAUUUUCCAUCCGUCCCCGGGCUGGGUCCCCCCUCCAGUGGUGAUUCGGCCCAUCUGGCACUUCUCUCUUCUCUCCAAAGCGACUUUGGAGCCAGCAAAUACCGCAGGCGCUACUUGCAUUGUGGCUCUGACUCAAGGGACUGGGCUUCUGCAGGUGACACCUUGCAUCCAAGGACCCAGAUGUCUUCCUUGCUGUGCUGUGGCCACCCAGAUCACCGCUCUCCGGCCAGCCAUGUGUAGGCCAUCAGCUGCUAAGGUGGAGAAACUGGCAGCAAUUGGCGCUGGAGCCCAUUGGGGCUCUCUGAGAACCUGGAGCUGGGCUUGGGCAUCAGAAGAUGGACAUGACACCCAGCUGUGCAGGCAGGGAGAGCCUGGAGGUUCGUGCAGCCACCCUGUCCCUGCCACCACUGGCUUUGCAAGACAUAAGGGCUGUUUCGGAGGAGCUGGGACAGGGGAGUGACUUUGCACCAGCAGAUCCAGUCCUGGCACACUUGAGGCCGCGCACGUUGCCGAAGCAGGCUGUGCCCCAAGCUGGAGAGUCUGCAGAGAAACCCCGGGAGAGCUCGACAAGAGCUGAGGACAUUUCCGAUGGAGGCAGACAGGACACUCAGCCUACUUAGUUUAUCAGGAAGAAGAUCAAGGGGCGGCUUGAUUACAGUCACAAGGACCUUGGUGCGUAAGUACCUUGGCAGAAAUAACAAGCCAGGUACUUAAGAGCUCUUUAAUCUAGCAGGGAAAAGCAAAACAAGGGCCAAUCGCUCCACAUUUCCAGCAGUCCGAGUGAUUAACUCCAGAAUGAGAAGCAGGAACCCAGGCUGCCUUCCCAGGGCUGCUGCAGGGCUGGCUGGGGUCUCCCACCCCAGCAUCACCUGGAGCAGCGUAUUUUACCUUAAUGGAAGGUACAAGAAACUUUUGGAGAUGGCAGAGGGGCUGUGGGGCUGGGGCAGCGUGGGGUGACCCAUUAAAUGCUUCGGCUGCAGAGGGCACACCUCGGCAGGCGAGGUGGCCACUGCUGGUGCUUGGGACAAGGCAGGGUACAGGUGGCAUUGUCCGGGAGCAGGGGGUAGCAUGGCAUGGGGCAGGUGGCUCUGGCCAGGGAAUCUGCAAAAUGGCAUUUAUGGUGAGAUUGCAGCCGAAAACUCUUUGUGCCAGAGGGAUCUCCAGCUGCUGAGGUUCGAGCUUCUGAGCAGAGGGAAAAUUGAUCCCCUCUCUGCAAGCUCACAAACCCGACCAAAAGCUCCCGAGGCCACAGGGGAGCUGGAUCACCUGGCAGCACCGGGGGCUGAUCCCAGUAAUGUGCCUCUGGGAUCUCCUGCUGGACACAGCUAACAGGUACCAGGCAGCUGCAUCUUCAUCGUGCCAAAAGCGUGGUGAAGCUGAAGUAGGAACAGAGCGCUUCUCUCACGAAACCAUUCAUGUUUCUAUUUAAAUCCUAUUCUUCCCCUCGGUUUUACAGUUUGCUGGUUAAAAAUCAACAGCCUGGCCAGGGCCCUGUUGCAAAGCAUCGGGAAAAGCCCUGGCUUGGGGGGGGUGGCGCAGGGCCCCCAGUGCAGCCCUGACGCCCGGCGUGCUGCCAACGGGGCUAACAAAAGGCCAGCAGCGGGGCCAGCCCGUGCUGGGAGCGCCACGGAGCCCAUGCUGAAUAGCUCUUCCCGCACAGAGGAAGGCAUGAAGAGGCGUAAUCAAAUAAGGGUAUCAGCAUGGUGCUCCUUGAACGGCACUCCCAGCGUGAGCCGGCGGCAGGGCCGGGCGGAGGUGACAGGUAUCUUUAUCCCGCCACGCAGGAGAGCUCCAACGUCCCGCUGGCAGGAAUUUGUCUGCAAAUUUUCCCCCAUUGAAUGGAGCGAGGGGGCCGGCAAGGCGCGGGCUGAGAUGAUCGCUUGAUUACAGCCGGGGCAGGCGAGGUGGAGAGACGGGGCAGCUCCCAGGGAGCCGUGCUCCCAGCCCUUAACCUCUCCUCGGGAGACCGCAAAUUAUAUCUGUUAAUGUAUCAGCCCCCUGGUAUCCUACAAAUAAGUCGUCUGGCUAAGUGCAUGUCAGACAUUCGCAGGAGGAGUUGUUACCUUUUCAUCACUUAAUCAUUUUCAUCAUCAUCAAUUAAUUCAUCUUGCAAUAAACUUUAACCCAGUGAGUCCUGGGGAAGGCAGGUGAAGAGGCUUACCAGCCCAGCUGGACUGUAAACACAAGCAGGAGGCACCGGCUGCAAAAGGGGUUUAAAGAGCAGAGGGAAAGAGUUUUCCCCGCUCCCCCGUGGAAAUGGGAAACCCUCUGCCACGGGGACAGGAGUAUUCCCAGCCCCGCUUCCCAUUCCGCUCCCCUGCCAGCUGGGAUGUGCAGAGCCAGGGUCCCCCUACGCCGGGGACCAGGAGUGUCCGGAGGAAGGAUGCUCCCCUGGCGUACCAGGGCCGGGGAUGAGGGGGGGCACUUCAUGCACUCCCCCUGGGUGCCAGAAGUGAUUUACACAGUGCACCCGAGAGCAGAGUCAAUUAAGGUCACAUUUCUGUGUUGCUAAACAACAGGCGGCUCUGGGUUCAGGCCUGCUGAAAAGAAAACAAAAGCCACCCCUUGAAACGGGGGCUUUGAGAGGGUUCAAAGGAGCACGAAACAAAAGGCGGGCUUUGUGGGCUGCCCUCGCCCGCGCCUUCCCGGGCCCUUCCGCCACCAGAGACACCGUUAAUGUGGCAAGGGGGAGUUUUUAAUUGUCCGGCACAAACAAUGCUGGCAUAUUUAGGCCGGCCUCAUUACAGAGCUAUCCGAAAUGCUUGAGAAGCAUUCCCACCGCUUAGCAUAAAUAGCAGAAACACUCUUUCACGAGCAGAGCAGGUCCCAUCUGCUCCCAGCCCGUCCUCACCUUGACUUGCAAUGGCAAGCCCGUGGGGUCGGCCCCUCCGCCCCACUGCUCCCAAACCCCAGCGCGGGGACCUGCCUCCCUGCCCUCAGCUCACCCCGCCGUAGGGUGCUGCCCGGUCCCCGUGGGAGCGGAGGGCAGGAGCUGUGGGGAUUUGCAGCGAGGAGUGCUCUACCGAAUUGGCCGGUGUGGCAGCUCCGGCUGGGGUUUGCUCUGCCUGCCUGGCUCCAGCGGCUUGGCCACGGGUGAUGGGGGUCUCGAGGGGCAUCACGCACGGCUCCUGACUGGACAAGGCGGUUCGCACACAGCCCUCCUGGGUCCUGGCUGAUGUCCCUCAUGGGGAAUGAGACAGAGAAGGUCUCAGGGACCUUCCACAGCGGGGCUGAGCCUGAAUUGGAAAUAACACAGACAUUUCCCAGAGAGACCCAAACCCAAAUGGGGACCGGGGUCUGGGCUCUUGACGGCCACAGCUGUUUCAGGUUUACACCCCAUUGCACUUACUGGAGCUCCCUACCAGCUUUCCAGUUGGUGCACGGGGGCCCUUGACCCCAGCAGAGUGUCCCAUGAGCCCCUUGCAGUGAGCCGUGCCGGCAGGCCAUCCCCCAGCCCGGGCAGAGGAGCACGUGGCUGGGAGGGGGCUGCCCUGGCAGGGACGCAGCCCCCCGGGGCUGGGAAAUGGCAUGGGCUGCAGAUGCCGCAGGGUCAGCUGCCACCGCCAAGCCCAGCCAUGUGCCUGGCAUUUCCCGGGCAAGCGGUGCUGACAGGUUGUAGCCCGACAGCCAAGGCCGGGGCAGAGCUGUGCCAAGUGGGGCGGCGAGGCUGCCGGCACCGUGGGGCUGGAGAGCCGGCACCGAGGCACAGAGACAAGGCAGCCCCAGUCCCACAGGCAGGGGGUCCCUGAGGGGGCUGAGCUCCCCUCCCUGCACCAGGGUGGCUGCGAGUAGUAAAGGCACUGUGACCAUCCACCCUGCGUGUCCCACAUGCACGGGGAGCACAGGGACCCCUUUUCAGCCCAAGCAGUUUCUGUGCUCCCCACCCUGCCUGGCUCCCCUGCUUUCCCCCAGGACUUGUAGCUCCCGUCCCUGGAGCGAGCCGCCCCGGCAGCCGCGGGCAGCCCAGUGCAGGGCAGCCGGGGCGGCGAGCCUGUUUUCACCGCGUGGGUCCUGGCAAAAAGCCUUGUCAGCCCACAGGGAUCAAAGCGAGCAGCGUUUCCCGACCGAUACCUGAUCCUGGAGCUGGAAGGGAGCCGGGAGGCUGCCGAGUGCCUCCUGCACCGCUCCCACCGCCACGCAGUGCCGAGCGUGCCGAGGGCCCCGCGCCACCGGGCUGCGUUUUAUGGCACCGUGGUUUCUGCCAGCUCCCUCCUCCCCUCUUUUGCCUCCCCUUUCUUGGAGGCAACCAGCUCCCCACGCCCCACAGUUUAUUAAAAAUCCCGGGUACCUUGGAAGAGACAACACAAUAGUGUACUUGUUACAGCUGCCUCGUAUUAAUGGACUGCCCCUUUUGAUUUUAGAGUGGAACUUUUGGCAGAAAACCAGCAUCCAAAAAGGAAAAUGGCUGUAAAACUCAGCAAAAGGGGGGAGCGGGGGGGAAGCCCCCAGCUUUGAUCAGAAAGGCUUGAAGAUGAAUCGCAGUGAUGCCCAGGCAGAUUUGCUAGAGGUGAAGUUCAGUUGCAAAGAGGGGAGCCAGGGCAGGCGCAGAGGGGGCUGGCCGGGGCUGCAAUGGGGCUGGGGUGGAAGGCAGCCACGGCAGCCAGAGGUUCAAAGGCCUCUGCAGCGAGGAGCAGAAUUGGAGGAUUAUUCACUUUCUAUAUUUUCACUCCUGCAGCACACAUGGGAAUCUAAUUGGCCAGGAUGAGAAAUACAGCCAGACAGCUUACAAGUGGGCUCAAGAAGACAUAAAAAUAUUUGCAGCUGCAAGCCAUUAAAGGCGAACCCAGCCUCGCUCUUACACUUUAAUUACCCUGCUGUACGCUCUCCUCCACGUACCAGAGCUAACGUCAGUUCAAAAACCUUUCUGAUCUUAAAAGGCCAAGCACAACGCCUGGCUGCACUGGGGCGGCAGGGCUCUGGCACAGCGAGGGCUGCACACCUCACAGGGUGUCCAGGCAACAGCUCUCACCCCACCGCCCCAACGCAGACCCCGACACUGCUCCUACAAGGCUGACAGCAGCCCUGACCCCCCCGAAGGGGUUAGCUUGGCUUUUUAUGGAGGGAGGGAGCCCAGUCUCUUGGGGUCAGGGGCUUCCCGUGCAGCCAGUGCUCUGCAGGGUCUGGCCAAGCUCAUCCCUGCACCUCCCUGCAGUGGCGGCAUGUGGCAAAGCCCUUUGUGGGGCGAUGCCGGCGGGUGUGUCCUCCCACAGCCUCCCCAGCCGUCAUUGCUGCUUCUGCAUCGCAGCCGAGCCGCUUAUUCCCCAGGAUCCAAAAGCACUUGCCAGGGAGAUUUCUCCCUUCUCAGCACCCGGACCCACCCCAAUGGCUGGAGACAAAGGGUGACGGAGGGACCCCAUCUCCCCAUCUCCACCACGGCAGCUCCACGUCCAGGUCACUACUCUUCGCAGUGCUACGGGCACUGCAGGCUACCCAGGGGACGAUGCCACCCACAGCCGCCGUGCAGCCACCCCGGGAUGCUGGCAGCUCAGCACUGCCCGCAGGGGGGCUCUGGAUUCGGUGAGGGGUGGCGGGGCGGCAAGCCCAGCCCAGCCCAGCCGGCCACCGCCGUGCUGCUCCCGGCUCCUUGGCUGCUCAUUUCCUUUUCCGCUUCUGCAGUGACACCAAAGAUGUUAUUGCAGGUGCCGGCCGUGGCCCCGCUCGCUCCCCCGCAUGGUUCACCCGGCUUCUCCUGAAACCUGAGGAGAACUGAACUCAUUCUAUGCCAUUUUAUUUCAAUGCUCUGAGGGUUAACCUUGUGCCAGGCAUUUUUAAUCCAGCUAUAAACACGGGAGAGCAGAGGGACUGCAACCUUGCUUAAUGGGGCAAUUUUUUAUUGAUUAGUUUGAGGCUUUAAUGCAAUCUCCUUCCAAAUGCAUGAGCUGGCCAGCAAGAGGGUGUUUGAGUCUGGACUCAUUUUAAUUGAGCUUGAAGUUGCUUGGUGGCACCAAAGGGGCAUUGCAGGACAUAGGUAAGGACCCCAAAAGAUGGGGAAAGACCCUCAGGUGGAAGACCUGAAAUGAAUAUAUGGUGUUUGCACUAGUUUGAGACGUUAAACCCAGGUGCGUGCACGGGACAAGAGGAAGACCUGCCUGGAACUGCUGGUGCUGGGACUGUGCACCAGGGUGUAGGCAGGGAGCUCGCUGGUCCUGAGUCCCCAACAGUGCUGGUCCUGGGGUGCCGAGAGCUGCCCUGCUUCUGGGGCAGAUGCUUCAAGUCCUGCAAGGAAAUGCAGGGACAGGCGGGCUCAGGAGCCCCGUGCUGCCCGAGGACAUCUCUGCUGGAGCCAGCGUGCUGGGGGUGACGCCGUGUCACCGGCACUGCUGGGGGGCCGAUGGGCACAGCACAGCACAGCAGAGCCUCGCGGGCAGGACGGCACAGGGGCAGCGACGCAGCACUGCCGGCAGCCCCGGCAGGCCUCCACGCACAGAUGGCUGUGAGCAGGACCCAGCCUUUCUCUCUCCUGCCCCAAACCCUGCCAACCUGGCAGGAGCUGGCAGGGAGGGCAGAGAGGGUGCCGUGCCCCGGGAGCCCACCUGUGCCCGAGGAUGGGGAGGAGGCGGCCGCAGCCCCGGCCGACAGCUGGGGAGAGCAAAGCGAAGGCUAAAUAAGGAUGCUGGCCGCUCCUGGCUGCCAGCCCAGUGCUGCCCCCACAAAUCACCCAGUGGCAGAUGAAAAUCAAACCCCGAUGGGAAGAUGAUGCCUGGGGCCGGGCUGAGCGCCAAAGGAGUGAUGUUAGCCCCUCCACGGGGUGCAGGCCAGCAGGAACCUUUCCGGGCAUCGUGUCCCCAGCGGGAAUUUGCUGUGAGCCGGUCUCACCCCUUGCAGGGGGCGGAGGUUCCCUGUGCCCCCCAGGAGAGGACUGGCCAGGGGAUUCAUCUCGGGGUCGGGGAGCCGGGCGGCUGUCGCCUGCCCAGGCCGGCAUCGGGGCUGCUCCUGGCUCUGUCCCGCUCGGCUGCUCCCGGCCCCUGCCGAGCCCCGGGGGGCAGCACGGGGGGGGGGGGGGGGGGGAGCGGGGGCUCCAGAUUGGAACCACAUGGAAGCACAUUUGCAACAAAUUAGGCCGGGAGCCAGCAGCUCUUGCUUGGCCGGGUGUGCAGCCAAUCUUUGGGGAUUGUCAGCUCCUCCCAGGUUUCCACAGCGGAUGUUCCCUGGCCAGAGCGCAGCUGGGCUCCGCGCAAAGCUGCGGCCGAGGCAGCCCAGAAGGAGAUGAGCACACGCGCGGGCAGGGACCCCCGCCCGCAGGCGCAGCCCCGCCGGGUCCAGCGGGCCCCUGCGCGCUCCCCGCCUCAGCCAGGGAUGCUUUUUUGGGGUGAGGAUGCCCCAGCGCUCCGGGGGAGAGGAGGUGGUGCGCCCGAGGGGUUAUUCAGCCGCUUCCCAGCCUGGCAGCCCUGGGGCGAGGGGGCAGCUGCAGCGGGCAUGAUGCCUCCCUGCCUGCCCCGGCUCACCAACCCCUCGAGCUGCACCCAAAAUUCAGCAGCUGGGGAGCCGCAGCUCAAGCACUAGUGUGAAAUCACCUCUCAGGGGUACCUGAGAAAAGGGCUGACGUGAGAAGUGGGGAAGAAAAGCUCUGCCUGGCAGCCCUCACGGGGGGGGGGGGGGGGGGGUGGGGGGUGAGAGGGUUAAACCAGUGGUACAGAAAGGCUUUGAAUGUGCAUGUCAAAGAAUGACACUAACAACUCGUGUGACAACCUGCCAGGAAAACUUUUCAGAUCAUAAUUCGCAUAGCGUUUGUAUCAUGUUCCCUUCCUGUUUAAGAAGGCAAUAUGGAAACCGUGCAAAGGGUUAUUUGCUGGUCAGGCCGGUUUGCUGGUUACACUCCCUGUCACACGCGUCCCUUUAGGAAGUGAUGCCACCGUAACAGACAUCAUUUCUAAAAAUAACACCAUCCCAUGCAUUA